rnacentral:SRP_RNA from 1 species
ACUGGGUGUGGUGGCUUGCACCUGUAAUCCCAGCUACUUGGGAGGCUGAGGCAGGAGAAUCACUUGAGCCCGGGAGGCAGAGGUUGCAGUGAGCUGAGAUCGCGCCACUGCACUCCAGCCUGGGCAACACAGUGAGACUCUGUCUCAA